rnacentral:rRNA from 1 species
AGAGUUUGAUCAUGGCUCAGAUUGAACGUUGGCGGCAGGCCUAAUACAUGCAAGUCGAGCGGAAACGAUGGGAGCUUGCUCCCAGGCGUCGAGCGGCGGACGGGUGAGUAACGCGUAGGAAUCUACCCAGUAGCGGGGGAUAGCCCGAGGAAACUCGGAUUAAUACCGCAUACGCCCCACGGGGGAAAGGCCGGGAUCUUCGGACCGGUCACUAUUGGAGGAGCCUGCGUAGGAUUAGCUUGUUGGUGAGGUAAAGGCUCACCAAGGCUACGAUCCUUAGCUGGUCUGAGAGGACGAUCAGCCACACUGGAACUGAGACACGGUCCAGACUCCUACGGGAGGCAGCAGUAGGGAAUAUUGUGCAAUGGGCGAAAGCCUGACACAGCCAUGCCGCGUGUGUGAAGAAGGCCCUAGGGUUGUAAAGCACUUUCAGUAGGGAGGAAUUAGUAGGGUUAAUAACUCUGCGAAAUGACGUUACCUACAGAAGAAGCACCGGCAAACUCCGUGCCAGCAGCCGCGGUAAUACGGAGGGUGCGAACGUUAAUCGGAAUUACUGGGCGUAAAGCGCGCGUAGGUGGUUUAUUAAGUGGGAUGUGAAAGCCCCGGGCUUAACCUGGGAACUGCAUUCCAAACUGAUGAACUAGAGUACGAUAGAGGGGGGUAGAAUUCAGAGUGUAGCGGUGAAAUGCGUAGAUAUUCUGAGGAAUACCGGUGGCGAAGGCGGCCCCCUGGAUUGAUACUGACACUGAGGUGCGAAAGCGUGGGGAGCAAACAGGAUUAGAUACCCUGGUAGUCCACGCCGUAAACGAUGUCUACUAGCCGUUGGGAGGCUUGACCUCUUAGUGGCGAAGCUAACGCGAUAAGUAGACCGCCUGGGGAGUACGGUCGCAAGAUUAAAACUCAAAUGAAUUGACGGGGGCCCGCACAAGCGGUGGAGCAUGUGGUUUA